AUGCUUGUGCUGGGGAAGGUAGUCAUGCUAUUUAGUCCAGCCUGGGCUUACAACGCUGAUCCUGUACAACAUCCACAGGAUUGGCAUGUUGUGCCUUUGAGCCACUUUUGAUACACAAAUUCCCCUCCAAGUUACUCUUGAUGUCAAUGUAGUUUCUUUUUCAAGCCAUAAUUUGUGCCUUUUUAGUAUGUAGUGCAUAUUUUCAAGUGUAAUCAAUUGGUUUUAUGCUGGUGCCUGGUGGGCCCAUGAUUUUGGCGUUCGAUGGCUUCAAUUACUUUGUUUUCAUCAUACUGGUCACUAGUGUAACUACUUUUGGUCCUUUUUUCGUCUUUCUUUUUGUUUGUACUGCUAUUCGGCAAAUGCAUGGUUUGUUUCCCCCAUUUUGCUUCUGUCUAUCCUGUGAAGUAAAAGAGCCUUGAAGCCAAUUGAAUGGCUCGGCAAUUUUUGUCCGAAUUUUCCAAUUGAGCUCCUCCAUUGGCCAGGCUCCCUUUAUAACUCUAAGGUAAUUUCAUCUUUCUGGGUUAAUUUGUGUUGGUGGAUUAUUGUGAUGGGCAAUUAAGUCUUUUCGGCACCAUGAUACCAGAACUGCGCUUCUAGAGCACUACUUUGCCGAACGAGAUCAGCUGCCGUCCUUCGCGAUUGGUCUCUACGCCACUUAAUUGCUCUGGUUCGUCGAACUGCGGUGUUGAAAUCUCAUCUCAAAGGUUGACACUUUCUCUUCGGCAGAUCUCGGAACAACAUACUCGUGCGUUGGGAGCACGACCCCAUCGAGAUCAUCGCUAACAACCAAGGGAUCCGUAUGAGUUUGGUCCAUUCAUCUUCCAUUCCUCUGCCUCUGUGCUUAUCUCAUGAGUUGGGCUAACGACGUGAACAAAUGGGUUAUGUCGAGUUGAGUUUUCCAUAAAUUUAUAGUCGCUUCGAGUGCGUCAAAACCACACCCAUAAAGGACGAGGAAUUGGAAGGAAUUGAAGACGUCUACGGUGUCUAUGAGAAUAUUGACCACGAAACUUUAGCAAUCGAUGUGAAAACACUCGAAGAAAAUGCAAAAGAAUCGAUUCGAAAAGUUUUGCGAUGUAAGUUAGCAUCUACAAUUAGGGACUUAUUUUUAAAAUUUUCCUAACUCACCAAGCAGAGCUUCAUCAUUGCAUUUUUUAUAAGCUAGGAGGAGAUUACUUCUCAAGAACUUCUUAGCCGAAGUCAGCAGAGCUGAGAGUCAAAACAAAGCCCAUAGGCCAUUGUUAUAUGCAAACGAUGACAGAGUUAUGGAAGUGAUGUUUGCAGCUUUCGGCUAGUGAGGUACAACAGAAAGUCUGCUUCGUAGAACUUGGCACUUUCUUCUCCUAUAUAUUUUUACUUCUCACCCUUUCUUAUUAUAUGUAAAACAUGGGUUGUAAUUAUUUAAUACUUUCGGCAGGUGAUAUAUGAAUAUAAGUGAUGAUUAUUUUAUCUUUUUCUCGUACUAAUGUCUAGAGUUUCUAUUAAGAUUGCCAGAGAAUAAAUGGACACCACUGCCUCACUGAUUCUGGU